rnacentral:tRNA from 1 species
ACGCCUGUAGCCAAGUGGUAAAGGCAUCAGACUUUGACUCUGACAUUCGUUCGUUCAAAUCGAGCCAGGCGUG